rnacentral:snRNA from 1 species
AAAAAAGGCUUCUGUCAUGAGUGACACAUGUAGGGCACCUCAAUUGCUCUUCAUGAGGAAUCAAUAUCAAAAGAUUUCAGAAGCAUAAUUUUUGUUGCUAGGGCACUCAA